rnacentral:rRNA from 1 species
GACGAACGCUGGCGGCGUGCUUAACACAUGCAAGUCGAACGGAAAGGCCCUGCUUUUGCGGGGUGCUCGAGUGGCGAACGGGUGAGUAUCACGUGAGUAACCUGCCCUUGUCUUUGGGAUAACUUCAGGAAACUGGGGCUCAUACCGGAUAGGAGCUCCUGAUGCAUGGUGGGGGAUGGAAAGUUUCGGCGGUUGGGGAUGGACUCGCGGCUUAUCAGCUUGUUGGUGGGGUAGUGGCUUACCAAGGCUUUGACGGGUAGGCGGCCUGAGAGGGUGGCCGGCCACAUGGGGACUGAGAGACGGCCCAGACGCCAACGGGAGGCAGCAGUGGGGAAUAUUGCACAAUGGGCGGAAGCCUGAUGCAGCAACGCCGCGUGCGGGAUGACGGCCUUCGGGUGGUAAACCGCUGUCGCCUGUGACGAAGCGUGAGUGACGGUAAUUGGUAAAGAAGCACCGGCUAACUACGUG